ACAUCACUCUUCAGUGGUUGAUCCAACACUCCCGGACUAAGAGGAGUUCCUGAGAACAGAAAACAGAACAGGCCACGCCCACCUGUCCUAACACACACUCGCUCUUUGAUCAAAACCCCUCCCCUGAAAACUUUACUCCCUAAGCCCCCACCUGUCCUCCAUCCAUCUCUCCCUUCCUUAUAUUAACACCUCCUGACCUCCACCCACCUCCAUUACAUCUCGGGAUGCACUCAUACCUCCGUUUUGUUUUUAUUCAAGUACUGACCAAAGUCUCUGUGUCAUCCACAUCCUCCUGACGGACACACUCAACCUCCAUCGUUACGGUUGAAGCUGUGAUUUUAAAAUUAAUACUUUCCUGGAAUAUAUCUCACAUUUUCUGGGAUUUCUCACCUUAAAUGAAAUGCGAUUUUAAACACACAGUUAAUCAGAAAUGUACGUUAAUUCAAAUUUUAUUCAUAUAUAUUCAUUAGUUCUGUGUGUUAACAGAAUAAAGUUUCCUCUCCUAAGUUGAAUGAACAGCAGUGACAACCGUUGCUUCCGUGGUUCAGUUCAGUUCUUUGGAAGCAUCGUGAGGUUUGGAGAAGGCGUCUUUGUUGUAGCACAUAGAAAAUGUCUUCGGUACACCAGCACACACGCUAACGCAGGUAUUUUUUCCGGGAAACGGAAGCAGAUUUUGUCGAGAAUUCCCAGGAAAAACCGGGAUCUCAAUUCCCGCCACUCAACCCUUGUUAGGGGUGUCACACCACGGAAGUCUGAGGAAUUAAUUAAUACUGUAGUUAACGGAGCAUUUCACUAAAAUUACACAGCAGGAACAUUUCUGAAAGGUUUUCCUCACAGUGAAGUCAGUGACCUCCACUGUGUCUGGGUGGAGGUAAUAAAACCAAAACCAUCUGCAUUAAUAGAAACUAUAAGAGAGAAAAUCUUCUUAUUUUGUAAUUUUGGGUGAAGUGACUUUUUUAAUUUUCAGUAAAUGAACCCAGCAGUCAGUCAGUGUUUGAUCCUGGCGACAGAAAAGUGGUAUCAGUGCAUCUUUACAGAUCCAUACAGCAGCCUCUGUGAUAACCCGUGCUUUUAUUUUGGUGGGGAGCCUCAGCCAAACAUCUCUCUGCAGCCAAAACUGUCGGCCAUAUUGACUUUUAAGGGAGAAAGAAAACCAAAAAUCUGCCUUCAUCAUUUCUCCUCUGUUGAUUUUCCUUCCUUCCUCCCUCCCUCCAUCUGUUUCUCCCUUUCUACCUCCACAUCUUCCAUCCAUCCAUCCACGCCUCCAUUCGUUCACAUUUAUAUAAUCCUGAGAAGCCCCUCUUCCUCCCUCGUCUGUUGUGAACUGCUUGUCCUCCUCUGUAUUCCCUCUAUCUUUCCUUCCUUUUCUUAUUUUUGGAUGUUCCCUUCUUUCUCUCUUUCCUCGUCGCCAAGCCCCGCCCCUCGUCGUCUCUCUCUCUCUCUCUCUCUCUCUCUCUCUCUCUCUCUCUCUCUCUCUCUCUCUCUCCUGCUGAGCGAGGGAUUAAAAACCUUUUUAUUGCACUGUUCAUUUUGGUUUUGUAAGAUAUUAAUAAUGAGAAUAAUGUUAAUAAUCUUCUUAUUGUGA
rnacentral:lncRNA from 15 species